UACACAUGCAAGUCGAACGGUAACAGGUCUUCGGAUGCUGACGAGUGGCGAACGGGUGAGUAAUACAUCGGAACGUGCCUAGUAGUGGGGGAUAACUACUCGAAAGAGUAGCUAAUACCGCAUGAGAUCUACGGAUGAAAGCAGGGGACCUUCGGGCCUUGUGCUACUAGAGCGGCUGAUGGCAGAUUAGGUAGUUGGUGGGGUAAAAGCUUACCAAGCCUGCGAUCUGUAGCUGGUCUGAGAGGACGACCAGCCACACUGGGACUGAGACACGGCCCAGACUCCUACGGGAGGCAGCAGUGGGGAAUUUUGGACAAUGGGCGAAAGCCUGAUCCAGCAAUGCCGCGUGCAGGAUGAAGGCCCUCGGGUUGUAAACUGCUUUUGUACGGAACGAAAAGCCUGGGGCUAAUAUCCCCGGGUCAUGACGGUACCGUAAGAAUAAGCACCGGCUAACUACGUGCCAGCAGCCGCGGUAAUACGUAGGGUGCAAGCGUUAAUCGGAAUUACUGGGCGUAAAGCGUGCGCAGGCGGUUUUGUAAGACAGUGGUGAAAUCCCCGGGCUCAACCUGGGAACUGCCAUUGUGACUGCAAGGCUAGAGUGCGGCAGAGGGGGAUGGAAUUCCGCGUGUAGCAGUGAAAUGCGUAGAUAUGCGGAGGAACACCGAUGGCGAAGGCA
rnacentral:rRNA from 1 species